rnacentral:rRNA from 1 species
UCGACCUCAAAUCAGGUAGGACUACCCGCUGAACUUAAGCAUAUCAAUAAGCGGAGGAAAAGAAACCAACAGGGAUUGCCUUAGUAACGGCGAGUGAAGCGGCAAAAGCUCAAAUUUGAAAUCUGGUAGUUUCACUGCCCGAGUUGUAAUUUGAAGAACGGUCUUUGUAGCGCAGCCUUUGUCUAUGUUCCUUGGAACAGGACGUCACAGAGGGUGAGAAUCCCGUGAGAUGGGGGCCGCACUGCUUGUAGGGCCAGUUCGACGAGUCGAGUUGUUUGGGAAUGCAGCUCUAAGUGGGUGGUAAAUUCCAUCUAAAGCUAAAUAUUGGCGAGAGACCGAUAGCGAACAAGUACAGUGAUGGAAAGAUGAAAAGAACUUUGAAAAGAGAGUGAAAAAGUACGUGAAAUUGUUGAAAGGGAAGGGCAUUUGAUCAGACUUGGUGGGGGAGUACUGGCAGUCACUUGUUGUCUGUUUACUGCUCUUCUGCUGGGCCAGCAUCGAUUUGUGUGGUGGGACAACCGGCUGGGAAUGUGGCUGCUUUUUGCAGUGUUAUAGCCCAGCUUUCUACCGCCUACAUGGAUCGAGGACUGCGUCUUUAUGACUAGGAUGCUGGCGUAAUGAUCUAAUGCCGCCCGUCUUGAAACACGGACCAAGGAGUCUAACGUCUAUGCGAGUGUUUGGGUGUGAAACCCGUACGCGUAAUGAAAGUGAAUGCAGGUGGGAGCUCUUCUGAGUGCACCAUCGACCGAUCCUGACGUUUUCAGAUGGAUUUGAGUAAGAGCAUAGCUGUUGGGACCCGAAAGAUGGUGAACUAUGCCUGAAUAGGGUGAAGCCAGAGGAAACUCUGGUGGAGGCUCGUAGCGGUUCUGACGUGCAAAUCG